CAAUAGCGUAUAUUAACGUUGUUGCAGUUAAAAAGCUCGUAGUUGGAUUUCUGGAGGGAGCGUCGGCCCGUAUUUACGAGUGCGUGACGUCUCUGUCCAUCCUUGCGGGAAGGCACGGCAUUGAUUUGUUGUGUCGGAUCGCAUCAUUUACUGUGAAAAAAUUAGAGUGUUCAAAGCAGGCUUUCGCUUGAAUACAUUAGCAUGGAAUAAUAAGAGAGGACUGUGGUGCUAUUUUGUUGGUUGAGCCUAAAGUAAUGAUUAAUAGGGAUAGUUGGGGGCACCUGUAUUGCGUUGUCAGAGGUGAAAUUCUUGGAUUUACGCAAGACAAACAGCUGCGAAAGCGUCUGCCAAGGAUGUUUUCAUUAA
rnacentral:rRNA from 1 species